rnacentral:rRNA from 1 species
UCACGAAUCAUUGGCAAUGCGCGCAAGCGUGACCAUGCAAUGCCGCGUGGGCGAUGAAGGCCUUCGGGUUGUAAAGCCCUGUCAGGGGUGAGGAAACGUGCUUUGCACUUGACGUUAACCCCAGAGGAAGUCACGGCUAACUCCGUGCCAGCAGCCGCGGUAAGACGGAGGUGGCAAACGUUGCUCGGAAUCACUGGGCUUAAAGGGCGUGUAGGCGGCCUUCUAAGUCGGAUGUGAAAGCCCUCGGCUUAACCGAGGAAUUGCAUUCGAAACUGGUUGGCUAGAGUGCGGGAGGGGCAAUUGGAACUCCAGGUGUAGCGGUGAAAUGCGUAGAUAUCUGGAGGAACGCCGGUGGCGAAAGCGAAUUGCUGGACCGCAACUGACGCUGAGGCGCGAAAGCCAGGGGAGCGAACGGGAUUAGAUACCCCCGUAGUCC